rnacentral:rRNA from 1 species
GACGAACGCUGGCGGCGUGCCUAAUACAUGCAAGUAGAACGCACAGUUUAUACCGUAGCUUGCUACACCAUAGACUGUGAGUUGCGAACGGGUGAGUAACGCGUAGGUAACCUGCCUGGUAGCGGGGGAUAACUAUUGGAAACGAUAGCUAAUACCGCAUAAUAUUAAUUAUUGCAUGAUAAUUAAUUGAAAGGUGCAAUUGCACCACUACCAGAUGGACCUGCGUUGUAUUAGCUAGUAGGUGAGGUAACGGCUCACCUAGGCGACGAUACAUAGCCGACCUGAGAGGGUGAUCGGCCACACUGGGACUGAGACACGGCCCAGACUCCUACGGGAGGCAGCAGUAGGGAAUCUUCGGCAAUGGACGAAAGUCUGACCGAGCAACGCCGCGUGAGUGAAGAAGGGUUUCGGAUCGUAAAGCUCUGUUGUAAGGGAAGAACGGGUGUGAGAGUGGAAAGUUCACACUGUGACGGUAUCUUACCAGAAAGGGACGGCUAACUACGUG